UGAGCAAUCUGCCCUUCUCUUCGGAAUAAGCGUUGGAAACGACGUCUAAUGCCGAAUACGACCUCCUUUCGCAUGAUCGGAGGUGGAAAGCUCCGGCGGAGAAGGAUGAGCUCGCGGCCUAUCAGCUAGUUGGUGUGGGUAAUGGCCCACCAAGGCGACGACGGGUAGCCGGCCUGAGAGGGUGACCGGCCACACUGGGACUGAGACACGGCCCAGACUCCGUACGGGA
rnacentral:rRNA from 1 species